GGGGCUGCGAAGUCCGACUCUGCCACCUCCUCGUGGUGCAGCCUGGUAACAUCAUCUAGUGAUGAUGGCCAAGAGCAGAGCGGUUGUUAUGAGUGUCUGAUUCUUAGUGAACUCAGCAUUCAUUGGCCUUCAGGCCUUGAUCUUUGCUCCCUGUGAGCAAUCGCCCUGCCGCUGCUCUCUGCGAGCAAUCGUCCUGCUGCUGCUCGCUACGAGCAAUCGCCCUGCCUCCGCCCUGCCUCUGCUCUCUGUGAGCAAUCGCUCUGCCGCUGCUCCCUGCGAGCAAUCACCCUGCCGCUGCUCCCUGCGAGCAAACACCCUGCCGCUGCUCCCUACGAGCAAUCGCCCUGCCGCUGCUCCCUGCGAGCAAUCGCCCUGCCGCUGCUCCCUGCGAGCAAUCGUCCUGCUGCUGCUCCUUGCGAGCAAUCGCCCUGCCGUAGCACUUGUGUGCUUUGAUUAUCCCUACCAUGAAUGGCCAUACGUCGGGCCAGAAGUGGAUGUACAGUCUAUAUAGACUGAGUCUCCUCAAGAGUUGCUAUCUGGAUCCUGUGUCUAUCAUUACUGUGUAUAUAGAGAUUUCUCCAGCGUAGCACGUCCCCAUGCCCUUCGGGAGGCUUUUGAAGUGCAGGCAUUGCCUGUGUCUUCUCUGGGACGCUAAACCAAUACAUACAUACAUACGUUUCAGCAUGGU
rnacentral:sRNA from 1 species